ACGCCGGUGUCCAACGCUGAGUCUGUGGCGGCGGGAUUUACCCUGGCCACUAUCAUGGCUGCCGAUAACGAAAGUGAUGCUCUCACCUUUUCCAUGAGGACCGAACCCCCCACCAGCAACAUCGACAUCGACCCUGGACGGGAAGGAUAUUUGCUGUCAACAACCUGGCUUACGAGUGUCACAGCGAGAUCACCGCACCUCGUCACGGUUCAAGAUCCCUACAAUGACCCCGUCGGCACCUUCGUCGAAAGCAUCUUGCUCAACAAUGCUAACUACGCUCCGUUCAUCACCAACCUCAACUCCGAGUGAGGGUUCGCGAGGACGAGGGAUUACGGGCAAGACAGUCUUAAAGUUCGCGGGGUACGACGACGACACCACCGCCCAGUACAACACCAUCACCUACCAGACCUCCAUCGCGCCCUCUACAGCCGCCGACAUGUUUGACGUCACACCCAAGGGCGAGGUGGUGGUGAAGUCGGCGCUGGACUACGAGACGCAGCCCAAGGUCAUCACCAUGUACGUCACAGCCACGGACGGCUACUGCUUCGUCCGAGACGUACCAGCUGACCAUCCGACUGGUGGACAUCAACGAACCCCCGAUCCUCCUCCCGAUUGACCAGACGAUCCAGUCGUGCGAAGGACGGGUGACCAUCACACCCGACUGGCAGGUGUCGGAACCAGAUGCUGGCGACAUCGUCAAGUUCACUGACAUCCAGGUCAACGACAAAGGCUACUUUCAGAUCGACGAAGACACAGGUCAGGUGUCCACAACCAUUGACUACGACCUGGACGCGCCGGUGAUAAGAUGUCGCCGACAGUGGUCAAGACGGUGACAGUCACUGACCGCCAGGGUCUCACAGCCACCUCUACCUGACGAUACGCUUCGCCGACUGCAAUGACAACGCCCCCGUCUUUGUGAAAAGCGCGUACGAGUUCUUGAACCGCGACUGCUGGACGGCAGGGACCGUGCUGGGCACCGUCUCCGCCACCGACCAAGACUCGUCCUACGAGCAGAACAACAUCUUCUCCUUCUCCGGAUCAGGGGCAGGGGUCGAAGUUCAACCAUCCGGCCCUGUCGUCCUCACCGCGACCUCAGCGCCGGGACAGUCGUGACCUUUCCUGUCUACGCCACAGACCAGGGCAAAACGCCAGGCCCCCUCACCAGCGUCUCCCCCACCUGGGUGUCUAUAUACACCAUGCCGUGCAUCACCCCGUCUCCUGUCCCGAAGGUAACGGAUCCCCCAGUCGCCAACACCACCAACGCCACCGUCAGCUACUUCAACAUCUCCUCGCCCAUGGGCACCAACCUGCCGUGGAUCAUCUUGGCGGCCAUCCUAGCGGCGCUGCUGACGGCGUUGCUGCUGUACAUGUGCAUCCGCUACUGCUGGCCUUGUCUGCGGAGAUGCUGCACGCGGUGCACUCGGUGCACCAGGAAACCAAAAGCAAGACUAAACAGACCGAUCACGCCAACAAGACGACCUACUCCAGUUGCUCAACCGGAGAAACCACACCCUGGCUUUAUCUUCGGCUGGUGGAAGGAAACUUAUGCAAACGACGACUACAAGACGACUCCUGAUAGGACGAACAUUCCGGAACCUUCCAAAGGCCCUGAGAUACCAGAGACCAACACUUACGAUGUUGACCCUGUGUUAACCCCUCCACCUCCUGACCCACCACAAGAAAAGACGUGCAUUAUUUUGUAGACUAUCAAUAAGGGGGACAACGGUCAGGCUGGUGUUGUCAUGGUGUCACCUUGUUUUUGGAUGUCAAACAACGUUUACAAAGAUCACAAAAUUCAGUCUUAUUACUGUUGUGAUUUGUUGAUCAUUUUACAAUCAAAAAUAAAGUGAGGCGCAGUUUCGUGGACAUUUCAUUAAUACUUAUAGUCUAGAUCAGACUGUUAUCUGUUCUUGUGCGAAACGGAAAUGGAGGACAAUACAAGGAGACAGAUGUCGUCGCUGACUGAUGACCUACAGGAUUCAGCUGUCCUGAUGUUUUACUAUAUUGUAACUGGUCGGCCAACUUGUCUCCGACCUAAGAACACUUGUGGCUGGUAACAAGAGUCUGUGAUGCAGCCAGCAGCUCCAUCUCAAGCCCUCGACAUCCCGCAGACCUGUGGCGACAUAUUGGCCUCCGUCGUUCACGACAGACAUUUCCUGACAAACAGAACAAUAGUCUCCUGAGUGCUGACAAUUUAUGACUUGGUGAAUUGUCUCCCCAACACAGAUAUGAUUGUGGAAUCAAUAUGGAGACAAUAUAUUAUAGCCACAGUCGUGUGGACGUUUGUAUUACACAGAGGUUAUUACCGUCUCGUUUCUGGGGAAAGAAGGGGAAUGGGGGAAGGGUAGGUGACAUCCAUUCUACCACCAUCCCUACAUGAUCUUCUUUAAGUUCAAACCUUAAACCAAACCCUAACCUUUAACACUAACUUACUAGUAACCCUCAUGUAUGCCUUUUGAGCUAAUGAGGUUAAAAUAAUCAUAAUAGACAUCAAGAACAAACAAAAAUAACACGCACGUACACGCACACAUAUUAUGACUACGAUAAUGUCGAAUCCAAGACAGCACAGUGUUUUUUUUUUUAAACAUAACAUUUAAACUACCUAACUGUAUUCAGCAUAUCGACAUAUUGGGAGGUAAAGAUAGAGUUGUGGGCGAGUGGGCGUGGUCUUACUAACGCCAUCAACGUAUCAACUCAUAUGAUGAUCAUAAUGAAUGUAAUAAUAUUUAUGACUUAUAGUGAUGCUUACAAUGACUGCAAUAACUUAUCAUGAUGCUUCUAAUGCUUAGUACACUUCAACAGAUGUGACGGUACAUAAUUAUUGUUCUUAAAUCAUCAACUUGUUGUUCUCAUUGUUUCAUUGUUGUUUACUGCAAGCUUCUGUGAUAAUGUUUAUUUAUUUAUUGCUGAAUGAUAAGUAUAAUGAAUAAAGAAAUAAAGAUGGAGAAAUCGAUGUUUUAUACAA